rnacentral:lncRNA from 1 species
AGGUGGCUGCCUAUGGUGGGAAGCUACGGUAUACGCUCUCCUACACAUCUGGGCCACAGGGCAGCCCACUCUCGGACCCUGAUAUCCAGAUUACGGGCAAUAACAUCAUGCUGGUAGCCUCUCAGCCCGCACUACAGGGCCCAGAGAGGAGGAGCUAUGAGAUCAUCUUCCGAGAGGAGUUCUGGCGGCGACCAGAUGGACAGCCUGCGACCCGAGAGCACUUGCUCAUGGCCCUGGCAGAUCUGGAUGAACUUCUGGUUCGGG